GAGACAUAUGUUGAAUUGAAUCGUUCGAGCAGCGGACGGGUGAGUAAAGCACAAGGACUUGUCCGAAAGAGAGGGACACCUGCGGGAAACCGGAGCUAAUACCUCAUAAGCCGGAAGGUGAAAAGCAGAGAUGCGCUUUUGGAGAGACUUGUGUCCUAUCAGACAGUUGGUGAGGUGAAAGCUCACCAAACCGAAGACGGGUAGCCGGACUGAGAGGUCGACCGGCCACAUUGGAACUGAGAGACGGUCCAGACUCCUACGGGAGGCAGCAGUGGGGAAUAUCGGGCAAUGGGCGGAAGCCUGACCCAGCGACGCCGCGUGAGGGAAGACAGCCUUCGGGUUGUAAACCUCUGUUGCAGGGGAAGAAGGAAGUGACGGUACCCUGCGAGGAAGCUCCGGCUAACUACGUGCCAGCAGCCGCGGUAAUACGUAGGGAGCGUGCGUUGUCCGGAAUUACUGGGCGUAAAGGGCGCGUAGGCGGCGCUUC
rnacentral:rRNA from 1 species